GACGAGGGAUCCUAGCGUUGUUCGGAAUCAUUGGGCGUAAAGCGGAUGUAGGUGGCUUUGUAAGUCAGAUGUGAAAGCCCCGGGCUCAACCCGGGAAGUGCAUUUGAUACUGCGAAGCUUGAGUGCUAGAGAGGUUACUAGAAUACCUGGUGUAGUGGUGAAAUACGUAGAUAUCAGGUGGAAUCCCGGAGGCGAAGGCGGGUAACCAGCUAGACACUGACACUCAGAUCCGAAAGUGUGGGGAUCAAACAGG
rnacentral:rRNA from 1 species